GACGAACGCUGGCGGCGUGCUUAACACAUGCAAGUCGAACGGAAAGGCCCUGCUUUUGUGGGGUGCUCGAGUGGCGAACGGGUGAGUAACACGUGAGUAACCUGCCCUUGACUUUGGGAUAACUUCAGGAAACUGGGGCUAAUACCGGAUAGGAGCUCCUGCUGCAUGGUGGGGGUUGGAAAGUUUCGGCGGUUGGGGAUGGACUCGCGGCUUAUCAGCUUGUUGGUGGGGUAGUGGCUUACCAAGGCUUUGACGGGUAGCCGGCCUGAGAGGGUGACCGGCCACAUUGGGACUGAGAUACGGCCCAGACUCCUACGGGAGGCAGCAGUGGGGAAUAUUGCACAAUGGGCGGAAGCCUGAUGCAGCAACGCCGCGUGCGGGAUGACGGCCUUCGGGUUGUAAACCGCUUUCGCCUGUGACGAAGCGUGAGUGACGGUAAUGGGUAAAGAAGCACCGGCUAACUACGUGCCAGCAGCCGCGGUGAUACGUAGGGUGCGAGCGUUGUCCGGAUUUAUUGGGCGUAAAGGGCUCGUAGGUGGUUGAUCGCGUCGGAAGUGUAAUCUUGGGGCUUAACCCUGAGCGUGCUUUCGAUACGGGUUGACUUGAGGAAGGUAGGGGAGAAUGGAAUUCCUGGUGGAGCGGUGGAAUGCGCAGAUAUCAGGAGGAACACCAGUGGCGAAGGCGGUUCUCUGGGCCUUUCCAGACGCUGAGGAGCGAAAGCGUGGGGAGCGAACAGGCUUAGAUACCCUGGUAGUCCACGCCGUAAACGGUGGGUACUAGGUGUGGGGUCCAUUCCACGGGUUCCGUGCCGUAGCUAACGCUUUAAGUACCCCGCCUGGGGAGUACGGCCGCAAGGCUAAAACUCAAAGGAAUUGACGGGGCCCCGCACAAGCGGCGGAGCAUGCGGAUUAAUUCGAUGCAACGCGUAGAACCUUACCUGGGUUUGACAUGGAUCGGGAGUGCUCAGAGAUGGGUGUGCCUCUUUUGGGGUCGGUUCACAGGUGGUGCAUGGCUGUCGUCAGCUCGUGUCGUGAGAUGUUGGGUUAAGUCCCGCAACGAGCGCAACCCUUGUUCACUGUUGCCAGCACGUUAUGGUGGGGACUCAGUGGAGACCGCCGGGGUCAACUCGGAGGAAGGUGGGGAUGACGUCAAGUCAUCAUGCCCCUUAUGUCCAGGGCUUCACGCAUGCUACAAUGGCUGGUACAGAGAGUGGCGAGCCUGUGAGGGUGAGCGAAUCUCGGAAAGCCGGUCUCAGUUCGGAUUGGGGUCUGCAACUCGACCUCAUGAAGUCGGAGUCGCUAGUAAUCGCAGAUCAGCAACGCUGCGGUGAAUACGUUCCCGGG
rnacentral:rRNA from 1 species